UGAGGAAUAUUGGUCAAUGGGCGCGAGCCUGAACCAGCCAAGUCGCGUGAAGGAUGACGGUCCUAUGGAUUGUAAACUUCUUUUGUGCAGGAAUAAAGUGAGGAACGUGUUCCUUUUUGUAUGUACUGUACGAAUAAGCAUCGGCUAACUCCGUGCCAGCAGCCGCGGUAAUACGGAGGAUGCGAGCGUUAUCCGGAUUUAUUGGGUUUAAAGGGUGCGUAGGCGGGCUGAUAAGUCAGUGGUGAAAGUUUGCAGCUUAACUGUAAAAUUGCCAUUGAAACUGUUAGUCUUGAGUGCAAAUGAGGUAGGCGGAAUGUGUUGUGUAGCGGUGAAAUGCUUAGAUAUAACACAGAACUCCGAUUGCGAAGGCAGCUUACUGGGAUGCAACUGACGCUGAUG
rnacentral:rRNA from 1 species